rnacentral:ncRNA from 2 species
UCAAGCACUCCGGGGAGCUCAUCGGAGCUGAGAGGGCGGCUGCGGCCGCCGACCCGAAGCACCUGAUCUGGGUAAUGCCAGCGGAGGGAGACGUGGACUACCGAACC